GGCCGAUAAUUUCCCCCUCAUGAACCAAGUCAUUAUUUGUCGUUUAUUCUGAGCGUUGAAUCUUUCCUCUCAAUGGUUUCAGGUUCAUUUUCCAUGAGAUCGACUUCCUCUUGGAGGUUCCCUCUGCAAUGGCUGUGAAGGCUGGAAUCAUGGGUGGGAGUUUCAGCCGCAUUGACCGUGACGCAGGAAGUUCCGGAAUUUCAGCCUCUAAAAGCACGAGCUGCAGGCAGGGCCAAAGCAGUCUGAGGGCAGAGUACAGAAGGACACAAUAUGUUCUGGAAACGUAAAAAGCAAUCGAUGGGGACUUGUUUGAAUGUCCACCCUGAUGAUGCCUCAAAAGCCACCGUGAUGCUUACCAACGUUCGCUUCUUCGGAAACCUUUUUGCAAGCCCAUCGUCCAAGUCACCUGUGCACUUGAUUAAAAUGUCUUCACAGGACUCUGGCGUAGGAUUUCAAACUCCAUUGCACGGAGGUCAGCAAAACAAAAAUGUCUUGAUUUCUGUAGAACCAAAAGGAAGUGGACCUGGUGCUUCGGGUCUUCAGGAUCUGAAACCAGACAUCAUACAGCGGCCAAGCCCUCCAUCUUCUACCCCUGGGAUAGUUGAAAAUGAUGGAAUGGUCAGACUUGGUUCCCCACUUCAGGCCCCAGCCUUGUACCCUGAUGGUGACUCAAUAAGUUCUCCUGCUGCCCGUAACUUAGACGACUCAAGCAAAGAUCAAGAGCAUUUAGACAUAGACAGUAUAGUACCAAAGGAAAUGGACUCAUCGAAAGCUUUCAUCACCAACUUUCACGAGUGUUCAAGCAAUAGCACAGCAAGUGAAAUCAAUGACAGUGAUGAAGAUGAUGAUGUAUUUGACUCUUUUGAGGAUGGUGCUCAUAAAGCAAAGGAUUACACCCACGAUACAUCCCAAAUGGGCAAAUUAAAAAUGAUCAACGAAGACCAAAAUGACUUUGGCAUUCCGGAGAAUUACGUUGACAUGAAGGCUUCCAUUGCCGCAACACCAAGCAACUCCAACCUUCGUACUCUUAUAGGAAAUAGAAACCCUCAAAAGCCAUCGCUCACGAGAACCACCACGAGGAGUUUCAGGAUUGAAAGCAAAGUUGAGUCAAGAGCAAUGGUGAACAGAAGCGCAGGCCUCGGCCACUUGGAUCAGCUCUGCCGGCUCAUGGAGAAGCUGGGAGAGCUGCAGGACAGCAACAGGAGGCUGCGAUGUCAACUGCACAUGCUCGAGAACCAGUUGCAGGCCUCACAGAAACAGCAGGCAUUGAUGAGCUCUCAAUGUAGCUGCGGGGCAGCACACAUCCUGGGACUUCAGCCUGCAGGGACCUCCCGAGAUUCCGGUUUCCAGCCAGCGGUGAUGAGACGUUGCUUGUCAUUUACAGUAAAGAAGAACCCUAGAGGGGGGG
rnacentral:lncRNA from 1 species